AAGUCGUAGCAAGGUUUCCGCAGGUGAACCUGCGGAAGGAUCAUUAAACAACAACCCUGACCUUCAGCGUGUUCUUGCAGCCCGAGUAAAUCAGGAGCUAAAGAUUUACAGAUUUUGAUUUUGGGAAGUUCUGUGUGCACGUGGACGCUCCAAUUGAGCGCUAGAUAAAGCACCCUGGUACCUAGAGCAAUCCCCUGAAAGCGGCAAGGGAUCAAUGUUCGGGGCAGUCAACGAUCGCAGGUCCACACGACCGGCGACCGGGGUGGACGAAAGCCCCUAUGUACCCUCCGGGACUUGGCGAAAGCUGCCUCCGUCAUAAAUCGAGUUCUC
rnacentral:misc_RNA from 1 species